UCCCUGGUAGUCCAGUGGCUAAGACGCCGUGCUCCCAAUGCCGGGGGCCUGGGUUCAACCCCUGGUCCGGGAA
rfam:TPA: Bos taurus chromosome 6, whole genome shotgun sequence.